ensembl:lncRNA
CGUCACUAUGCAGCGUGAAAUGUUGUUAUGGUUGACACAAGGUUCAACCGUCUAACAGCUUUGUGUGUGUGUGUGUGUGUGUGUGUGUGUGUGCGUGUGCGUGUGUUGGUGUGUGUGUGGCCACGUGGCCUCAGGAGGGCUCCAUGGACAGCCUGUACGAGGCGGUGCAGAGCUCCAGCGACGGGCCCCCGCAGCCCGUCCCCAGCCGCUCGUCCAGCCGCUCCUGCAGCCGCUCCUGCAGCCCGGCGGUGCUGCUGGACAACAACACAAAGUGGCGGGGCUCCGGAAGAUCCAUAUCCACAGAGACGCCUCAGACGCAGGCGACCAACUCCAGUAAGAAGAUACGGAGGUGAGCUCACCGGGGAAUCUGACACAAACGUGCCAACGCCGUGUUCGUGGGGGGAAAAAUAUAGACGUAUUUUUUAAGCUCUCAGGAAAAGGAAUUUGACAUUUUUUGUAAGUUGUUUCCUAGAAUAUUAUUAUUAUGAUUUGGCAGCAAGCAGACAAUGGAAUUGUAUUAAAGACAAAGUAAUCCGGCAGGCUUGUGUGUGUGUGUGUGUGUGUGUGUGUGUGUGUGUGUGCGUGUGAGUGUGUAUUUGAGUGUGUGUGUGUGUGUGUGUGUGUGUGUGUGUGUGUGUGUGUGUGUGUGUGCGUGUGAGUGUGUAUUUGAGUGUGUGUGUGUGUGUGUGUGGCUCCUCGUUCUGUUUCCUUUGGUCGGGAGUGCGUGCAGAGCGGAGGCAUGCAAGUGAAAGGGGCUUUCCCCCCAUAUACAGAUCUGAUAUGGCUUGAAAGGCUCCCUGUUUAUUUUUCACCGGGGGUUCAUUCUGUAAAUCCGUCCUGCAGCAGAGCGCACGAGGCCUGCUUCCCUCAGUUCCCUUUUGCUUUCUAGAUGGUUGACGGCCCUCGAAGCAAAAGCGUUUAUAUACAUAUUGUUCAGUUUGACCGGUAGUGGAAGUCAGGGCUCUCUGCGGGCUGUUGGGCCAGCAGAAGGAAGAUUAUGGCUUUGGGCCAGUUGGACUAAGAGGAUUCGAGGGCCCACCUACUUAGACUUAUAGUCCCCGGUUGCUGCGACACCUUUGCUCCCCUGGUGUUGCGUUCACGGAAACACGACUGGCGGUCUCAGCGAGGUCGUUGACCAGAGUCAUAUUGAAUUGCUGUCAUAUCGGUGUGUUUGUCUUGUGUCUUGUAGUUUGGACGAAGAGCAGCAAGACACCACUCCAAUGGUGGUUGAAGGCAACGACGUAAUAUUACAUCUCUGUUCAUUCUAUUCCAGAACACACGUAUCCAAAUCUGCGUCAGAUAAUGAAAUAUCGGGUGAGUACAAAUUCCCUCCUAAUUAAUAAAAAUGUGAUUGGUUUGAAGACGUCUAGGAGAUUUUACUCGGAGCAAAAAAAGCCACUGUCUUCAGUAUUGUUCAUAUGUAUAAAUAUAUUGUUUAUGUAAUGACAAGGAUAAGGUGAGAUGAACCUUUCUUGAUCCAGAAAUUCAGAAUCCACACAGCAGUGUGAUGACAAAAUAAAGUGGAAUAGAAACAGAAUCAGAGGUAAAUAACGUCAAAUUAAAAUACUGUGCCAUAACAAAAAGAUACUCUUAGUAUAUAGAGAUAUAAAAUAUGACAUUUGGAAAGCUGCUAGGGAAAAUAUCGUCGUCUAUUAUCCAGAUUUUAAAAAAUCCCACAACCCUGCCCGAAUAAAACCCCGAUUUCGCCCGGUGUCUCCGUGGCCUCCGUUCACCCCCGAGGGUUUCACUGAAAGUCCCGGGUGAUGGUGA